rnacentral:snRNA from 1 species
GUAUUCGCUUCGGUGGUACCUACACUAAACUCGGAACGAUACAGAAAAGAUUAUUAUUGGCUCUUGCUCAAGGAUGACACGCAAAAUCGUGAAGCGUUCCAUAUUUUU